ensembl:lncRNA
ACGGAUGCGGCCCUCGAGGCCUGGGGGUGCAAAGGACAGUUCUGAGGUCACACGGGCCUCACAGCUCACCCCCAGGGCCUCCGAGUCGCCUCUGUAAUGUUCCCUCUGUUGAUCUACUGUGGUCUGUAGCUAAGGGCCACUCAGGUGCCCUUAACCAAGGGCUUGCCCCUGCGGGAGGACACCUCUUCCAGGCAGUCUCCAUGAUUUCUCCACAGUCCCCCCAGGUCUCUGAGCCACGGCCGCUGGCUGGCUGUCCUGCUGUCUCGGCAUUGGCUUCCGUGUGUGGUUCCCAUGAGCCCCAACCUUAGAGGUCUGUGUUGAAUCCCCGCCAGGGCAAAGGUACUGAACUUGGUGAUUUCAGAGGCUCUGUUUUGAGCCCAGGGUCUUGGCAGCUUCCCCCUGCUGACACAAAGUGGGGUUGCAGGAACUCAGGUCCUGGGUGAGAAUCCUACACCAGGGCACUCCGUAAACAGGGAGGGGGGGGUCAAGGAAGUUGCACGUGGGGCCCCGGAUGGAUCUGGCUUCCUCCAGGAGUUGCUAAAUGCAGCUGUGGCCGCCCAGGUGCGUGUGCUAAGCAGCCUAGCCCCAUGCAGGUGGAUGUUCAGAAAUGACUCCCCCCCACACGGUGCAGGGGCGGGCAGAUGACCACGCGUGGCGCCCUGCCGGGGAACGUGGCAGGUGUCUGGACACCGCGUCCCCAGGCGACUUGUGCACGGGCAGCCUUCCCAGCAGCUCACGCUCUGUUCCCAGCCGCUCCUGCUGCCGCGCGCCACCCCCCUCCCCGCUCCGGGAUGGAAGGGGCGGGGGGGGGGCGGCCGGGCCCCGGGCUGGAAAAUUUCACACGCAGGCUCGCCCGCUUGGCUAAGGGUCUGGCAGUGCAGGUGGCUUGUGGUCGGGCCUUGGUCAGCCCUGCCCUCCACCAAGGACUUCCAGAUCGGGCACAAACAAGGGGCUCGGUGGGACGCCCUGAGCCGCAGACCCUACAAGGAGGGGCUUGUGUUCUGCAGGGGUGGAGGAGACUGACAGGGGAGCAAGACCGGCGAGACGCUUGCGGGGUGGGAGACGGUCUUGAUGAUUGGACAUGGGAACAUGAACCUAUUUGUCCUGAAUCGAGGCUUCUGGGAGAAAGGCCCUCUCAGCGUCGCAGAGAAACAAAACCUCUGCUUGGUGAAGACACAGGAUCCAGAGCCGUAACCAGCCGCCCGAAGCCAGCAGGCGGCUACGAGCCGGCUGUGCAACCUCAGGCAAGCUGCUUAACCUCUCUGGGCCUCUAUCUCCCCAUCCAGAUGCUUAGCGGAUGUUUGCGUUGUAAUUCGUAGACUCACCUGCUCCUCCAUGCCUCCCUCCCUCCACACCUAGGCUACCCCAGAGUGAUAUUUUCCACCCUGUGAAAUUUCUACUCUUUUCAGAUCCAAGUCAAAAGUCCCCUCCUCCAGGGAGCCUUCCCUGAUCUUCAGGUACCUUCUAAGUGCACCCAUGCCUGCUCUUUAACCUAUAAACAGCUGCUUAUCGAGACUGUGUAUAGACAACUCCUUGUCCCCGGGCCCGGGGCUGGCCCCAAGGAAGCACCGGACGACCG